AAUGAGGUCUAUCCCAACCGUUUCUUUACAAUAGAUUUGUGUUGUUGGAAAUGCCUCAAAGAUAAACUUGUAGUCUUUGCUUUACCCGCUGGACCUUUGAUGUUUGUCCAGUGGGAUUAAACUACAGAACAAUU